rnacentral:rRNA from 1 species
UACGUAGGGGGCAAGCGUUGUCCGGAUUUAUUGGGCGUAAAGAGCGUGUAGGCGGCCAUACAGGUCCGUUGUGAAAACUCGAGGCUCAACCUCGAGACGUCGGCGGAAACCAUCUGGCUAGAGUCCGGAAGAGGAGAGUGGAAUUCCUGGUGUAGCGGUGAAAUGCGCAGAUAUCAGGAAGAACACCCGUGGCGAAGGCGGCUCUCUGGGACGGUACUGACGCCGAGACGCGAAAGCGUGGGGAGCGAACAGG